rnacentral:misc_RNA from 1 species
UCCCCGUUACCGAGGCAGUCUGGCUAGAAAAAUCCAACUAACCAUAAGGGUUGCGCUCGUUGAGGGACUUAACCCAACAUCUCACGACACGAGCUGACGACGGCCAUGCAACACCUGUCACUGGAUUCCCGAAGGCACUCACUUCUUUCGAAGUAAUUUCCAGGAUGUCAAGCCUUGGUAAGGUUCUUGGCUUAUCCUCCAAUUAAAGAACACGCUCCACCGCUUGUGCGGGUCCCCGUCUAUUCCUUUGAGUUUUAGUCUUGCGACCGUACUCCCCAGGCGGAAUGCUUAACGCGUUAGCUUCGCUACUGAUGGGGUCGAUACCUCCAGCAGCUAGCAUUCAUCGUUUACGGCGUGGACUAC